rnacentral:sRNA from 1 species
ACACACACACACACACACACACACACACACACACACACACACUUGCAUGCUUCUCAUGCAAGUUUUUGUGAGUCUUUUGUAUUUUUAGAAGCUUCAUCAGUACUUUCUCAGACUGGCAGGAGCAGCCUAUAGGUGUCUAAGUGCUUCCCUGCCUGGCUGAAUCACUAUAGAAUGUGUUUUCUCCUGUGCUUGAUCCUUUCUCAGUACCAAGCUAUUUCUUGACUGCCUCAUAUGAAUCUUUAAGUGUUUACCUACUGAGAGUAGAUGCUCUGUUUUGUCCAUUCUUAGCCCUGAGGGCAGUAGAGAGAAACCACAGCCCCAUGCAAUCCGUAGCUUCUCCUUAUUCUCAGUGUUCUGAACUUGGUUCUCGGUGUCCAACAAUGGAUGCGUAGUCCGUAGAAUUCCAAAGCAGCCUCCAAAAGAAUCUGAGAAGGGAGCAGAACCAGGCAACCUAAGCUUCCUGCUCUGAAAACUAGAAAUCAUGAGUGUAGGAGCACUACCAUACAGUUAAGGUUUUGUUGGUUCAUUGCAAUGUGAUAGCAAGAUCAUUUGACUUGAUUCCUGAAUGCCUAUAUAUACAUAUAAAAACAUAUAUAUUUCAUUUACCUACUUAUUUUUGUGUGCCUGCUCUCAUGAAGGUGGGUGCAAAGGUGCGUGUGUGGAGGUCAGAGGACAACUUGCAGACCUAGUUGUCUCCUUCCACCGUGUACUUGCUGGGGAUGAAAUUUAGUCCAUCAGGCUUGGUGGCAAGCACAUUUACCCACUGAGACAUCUCUCUGGCCUUAAUUCACAUCAAAAAUAUGGGUGUUGUAUGGAGUAUUGAAAAUUCUCCCAGAAGAUUCUGUUUGAGUAUGUGUGUGUGUAUCCUAGUACCCCAUUGUACCUACUGUCAUGCAUUGGUCAAAUUAUUCGAUAGAGCAGAUCCACCUUCAACAGGACAUGGAAGGAUUAGCCCAUGUGAUUCUAGAGGGAGAGGGCCCCCACUGUGAUUUCCUAACCAAGGACUAAGGUUGCAGCCACAAUUGGCACCCCCUCUACACCCUACCCCCACAGAAUCACUUGCCUGACUCUCUCUUACACUACACUAUGAACCCUCUGGAUGCUUUUCCACAGAAAUGUAUAAAGGGUCAGGACAAUCCUUCACUAGAGCGAACAAGAAACCAGGGGUCUCAUUAGGGCUGUAUAUGGCAUGCUGAUGGCAUGGCCAUCUGCUACCCAGCACUUCUCCCAGUGGGGAUCUGUAUGUCUUCUUGGAGUUCUGAGAAUGCAGUUCUCACAAUCUUUCUUCCAGCACCCAGAGCACCCCAGUGUUGUGAAAUUUUCAUUAGCGUGUGAGUAAAUUCCUAAAGUACAUCUCAAUCAUCUUUGCCUUCCUGACUUUUUGACUAUGAUUCUCCUUUACUUUGUCCCACAAACCUUGAGAGAGGGCAGAGGAUAACAGAGUUGAUGCGAGUAACAUCCUGCCUCUUCUAAAGUUUGGGCUUCUCGUACGGAUUGAGAUCACCUAUUUCUUUCUUUCAUAAGGGAGCAGUGGAAAGACUAAGGGGCAGUCCCCUGUUCCUGCCAGUGUCUCUGGGUCUGGCUCCUGAUAAAGGAUGGAGAGCUGCCCACAUACACUGCUUGAGUUUCUCUCUUGCUGGGAUGCUGCUCCCCUCAGCUGUCAGGAUGGCCAUGCUUUGUAUAGAGAAGGAUAAUGUCACAGCACAAUUUGCCUCCUGCAGAGAAACGGUAUGUUCUGCCCCCAGGGUGAAGAAGAACCGAUUCCCUUGUCAUCCAUAAACUUAGAACUCGCUACAUUUUUUCCCUUUAUGAUUUCAGUUCACCACAGCUAUUUCCUUCUUUGCCCUCCUUAAUCUUCCAGCCUCAUUCCGUCUACCCUGCACACGCACAUCUUAGGUGACUUUGAAGGAAAAAGGUCUCAGUGGGACUGAAGACUCCCUGCUUCUCUUGCAGCUUCAGUUCUGAAACAGUUUGGGCAAUGUUCAGUGGUACAGGCAUGGUGGUUUCUACUGCACAUGCUCUAGAAAGAGUGAUUUCUCCAUGUACUGGCAUUUCCACUUGGCAUUCCCAGAGAGUCCUGUCCUGUCCAGGGAUGGGAUGUUCACAGGAUUCCAACUCUGCCCUACCCACAAUGAGUGUUUGCUUUGUCUAAGCUCCUUGCUGUUCUGAACAUGUUGAGUAGAAAUAAACUCACAUUUUACCUGUGAGUAACACCCCCUACCUGAAGAUCUGUCUGGGAUUCACCUCCUUAAUUGAUAUCAAAAUAUCAAUUUUGGACAUAUCAAAAGGAGAACCAGGUAGCCAUUGGAUGGCAGAGUUACAAGACAACCUGAAUCUCCAAGGAAACAGAAAAGCAUCAGAGAGGGAGUGAACAGACUGGGUGAGGAGUGCUGACCUGGUGUAGGAGCCAUAGGGGUGACAGGAAGCAUGGAGGAGACAAUGCAAGAAGCUCAAAUUUGCCAAGAGCUCUCAUGGGGAAAGGGGGGGAAGAGGAGGAGCUUGGCUAAAGAGCACAAAUAUGUCAGACAAGGCCCCCAAGAUGAAGUGGAGAAUCAGAAAAAUAAACUGUGAGUAAACAACUCUAUAGGGACUUAACUCUAGGUGUACUUAACUCUAUGGGUACUUAACUCUAGGAGUACUUAACUCUAUGGGUACUUAGCUCUAGGAGCACUUGUCCUCACCCAGAAUAAAAGAUGAAUGAGUGAUGAGUGUGAGCUUCCUCCCUGAUGCUGGCACCCCAGUGGCAUGGCAUCUAAGGGAGGGAGAAUCACUUCUUUUAUCUUGAAAGGUCAGAGCACUACUGCCAAGUAUGUGGGACCACUUCUUUAAUAAAGCUUCUGGGUGGGGAAAUGGGGCCUGCCUGUAGACGAUGGGGAUGGCUUCAGUGGUUGCUGCUCAACAGGGAGCCCUCAAAUCUAUUGAGGAUGAAAAAGAAGCUCCCCCAGGAGUACAGGGGUGUGUGUUGUGGGGUGGGGAGGGUCAGCAUCUGGCAUGGUGCUGAGAGGAUGCCAUGGGUACAGGAAGGAGGGUCUGGCUCAGUGCAUAGCAGCAGUGAGCUAGGCAUUGUACCAAGAAGCAGCCUUGCCUGGUGUGUGUGCCUCUGUUGGUGGAAGCCAGGACCAGCAGGAGAUGGGGUGGAGCCAUGGGUUAGGCCUGAAGAUGCAAUUUUUCAUUUUUGUUUAGCCCAGUAGGGGUGACUUAGGCACUAUUAUAUUGCAGACCCAAAAAAAGCGCAUGAAUAAUCCAGAGUGAAUUCAAGAGAUUUCAAUAGCAAAAUAAUAACAAUACUAAUGAUACCUUUGAUUUGUAGAGUACUUUUCUUCCAAGGAGAUAAAAAAGAUAAGCUGUUUUGGAAACAGGAACGAGAAAAAAUAAAAUUGCCUUUGAUGGAGGAGUUGAGAGAAGGGCCAAGAAUACUUGUUUUAGGGUCUUAGUGGAGAUGGGGGUGGUGGGAGGGGAGAGGUGGGCACGCACAUGAUCUUAGCUGCAACCAGUUCUUAUCACUGGAAGAUGCUAAGCUGAUUUCUAGGUGGGAAAACAAUUCAGACAUGGUUAAAAAUCGAGGUCAAUCAAGGGACAGAGAGGCCCUGAAGGUGACCUGUACCUGCUCCCAGCCAUGUUCUAAUCCAACAGAAGAGGAGCGAGGUGAAAUCACGAACACACCUUUACCUAAGCUUGAUUCACCAUGGCACCAAUCCUCACUUCAGCGGUGGCUUUUACAGCCCCAGUUUAUACUCAAGACCAAUGAACAGCCCAGAAUUCUUAGAUCCCCAGGGUUUAGCUGGGCUGCUGUGCUGGGGGGUGUCCACUGCUUUGAGUUUAGUGAGCCAUCAAUCCUGCCUAUAAGUGAGAGGGGAGCCACGCACCAGACCCAUGCCUGGGUUCUCACGGUUUCACCCUCAUUGCAAAGAGAAAAGAGUUUUAUUUCCAGUUCAAGGAAUGAGGUGCGAGCCGACUUCACUGGCACAUAGCGCUAUUCCAUAUGUCAUUGUGUGGCAUUUUCUUUUCCUGAGGGGAAAUCAGAAUUUACCCAGUUAGGUAUGCACAUCAAGUGAGACUAUAGAUACUUCUGGAUCAUUAAAAUGCUUCUGUCCCAGACACAAGGGAUGGUGUGCUCUGUUUUCUACCAGAGAUUUAGGACUAAGCAAGACAGAGCUCUGACUUCAUAUACACACCCUCUCCAAACCCACUUUGUGCUGUAGAGUGAAAGGUCAACAGGAAGGCUGAGUGAAGACACCGCAAUGCACUUUCAUCCACUUCCUGCUUUCCAGAGCUUAGCAUCAAACACCAUGCUUACCGGUGCCCCCUCCUCCCCUCCCAGAGGUAAAGAAUGAGUAUUCUGUCUGUAUACUUCCAGAAGUCGGUAAAUGUCAAUAUUGGAUAAGUGUUUCCUUUAUAUCAUGGCAAUUUAGCAUAAGCUGCUUGGAAACAAAUAUCUUCCAUAAGCAUACAGUGUUUCAGUGAGUACACAGUCAACACCACUAUGAGGUGUUAAAUAAAUGUCAGCAUUCUCUGGGUAUACUUAGUAACAAGCUUAGGCCUUGGAAUAGUGGCCAGUAUGGAUGGAUCUUGUGCCUUAUACAUAGUUCUUUUGUGGGGCCCACGUGGGUUCUACUCAGUGGGAGGUAGACAGUCAUCCAACUCUUUCCUGGGAAUACCAGCUAAGACUGGUCACAGACACUUCCCACAUACCCUCGGAGGUUUCUUCUGACAACCUGGAAGCCUUUACAUGCCCUCCUGCACCCUUCCACAUGUGCACACAGACCUGCCUGUGUCUCUACUGUCAAGGUCAAGCAAAUUUGCCCAAUUCUGGAACUUGGGUGGUUAAAACUAAAACCACAAGAUUUUGCAUUAGACACAAUGAGUUGAAUGGUCUAGGUGGUCUGCUCCCUUGAGGAAAAGCACUGGGUGUCUGUUUCAAGUUUAGAGUCUUCUCAGUUGAUGCUGACAUUAUGGGAAUUAAAAAUAAGACGGCAAACACACGCGGCUUUUACCCUUUCAAAUUUCCCCUCAGGAGUUCCAUAGGGUCUGAUGUCUCAGGGGACAAAGUUGGUUGCUCCCUAUUUUAUGAGCAAAUAAUAUUCUCUGGCAAGAAGCUCAUCUAGUGACCAGUCAGGCAGCACUUAUUUCAAGCCUACUGUGUGGUAGGUGUGAUGUCAGUGAGUGCUGUGUGAUAGUUGAGGCCAUAUUUCUGGACAGGAAGGCAACGCUUCCACAAAAGCUAUAGAACGAUGCUCUACAAACAGCAGAGACAGCCCAGGGCAUCAUAAAAGGAUGUCCAGAAGAGAUGCCAGGUGUGUUUGCUCUUACGAGAUAUAUGGGGGUGCUCUGGGUGAAGCAUGAAGCAUGCAGUCCAGGCUGUACCUGGGAGUGUGCGCGGACAGG